rnacentral:rRNA from 1 species
AUUGAACGCUGGCGGCAUGCCUUACACAUGCAAGUCGAACGGCAGCACGGGAGCAAUCCUGGUGGCGAGUGGCGAACGGGUGAGUAAUAUAUCGGAACGUGCCCAGUCGUGGGGGAUAACGCAGCGAAAGCUGUGCUAAUACCGCAUACGAUCUACGGAUGAAAGCGGGGGAUCGCAAGACCUCGCGCGAUUGGAGCGGCCGAUAUCAGAUUAGCUAGUUAGUGGGGUAAAGGCCCACCAAGGCGACGAUCUGUAGCUGGUCUGAGAGGACGACCAGCCACACUGGAACUGAGACACGGUCCAGACUCCUACGGGAGGCAGCAGUGGGGAAUUUUGGACAAUGGGCGCAAGCCUGAUCCAGCAAUGCCGCGUGCAGGAUGAAGGCCUUCGGGUUGUAAACUGCUUUUGUACGGAACGAAACGGCCCUUUCUAAUACAGGGGGCUAAUGACGGUACCGUAAGAAUAAGCACCGGCUAACUACGUGCCAGCCGCCGCCGUAACAC